CUCUCGGGAUUUUGAAGAGUGGCGAACGGGUGAGGAACACGUAAGAAUCUACCUUAUACAGGGGAAUAGCCCAGGGAAACUUGGAUUAAUGCCCCAUAGUAUCAUUAAGUAGCAUUACUUGAUGAUUAAAGAUUUAUCGGUAUAAGACGAGCAUGCGUCCCAUUAGUUAGUUGGUAAGGUAACGGCUUACCAAGACAGCGAUGGGUAGGGGCCCUGAGAGGGGGAUCCCCCACACUGGUACUGAGACACGGACCAGACUCC
rnacentral:rRNA from 1 species